GGGCGUUUAGCUCAGCGGGAGAGCGCUGCCCUCACACGGCAGAGGUCACUGGUUCAAAUCCAGUAACGCCCA
rnacentral:tRNA from 1 species